UAGAACUGUGGGAAAAUAGGAAGAGCAUUAAUGUAAAAUUAAUGUCUUAAGAAAAUGUGAAGACUACGUAUCAGUGUUGAUUUCUGCCUUUAUUGUAAAUUUGAAGCAGCACAGAAGUCAGCAGAUUGUGGUUACAGAGGGCACAGGACAAGAAGUCUGGAGACCUAGGUUUCAGUUCUAGCAUGACCUUUGACCUUUGGGUUUCAGCUCUCUAUUGUAAAGGGAGGGUAAUCAACUGAAAUAUUUCUAAGGUCCUCUUAUAGUACUAAAUUUGGGCAUUUUUCUACAGUUAAAUUACUAAUUGUUCUGGUCACAGACUCAAAGGAAAUUCUGAAUACUCAACUGCAACCAAUUGAAUCUAAAGGAAAUGGAAUCUUUUCAUUUUUCUAUUUGAUGUCCAGGUAAACAUAUUUUAAAGAGGAAACACUGAAUAUAUAUUAACUAUACAAUUGUCCAUCUAUACAUAUAUAUGGCACUAAUUUAUUAUUUUGUUCAGAAAGUUAGUCUCCUCUAAAUACAUCCUAGUUCACUAUAGUGUACACAUCACAAAUAUCAGUUUGUCUCCUCUCUAAAUGUAUGUCUUAUCAUUGUAAAAAUAUGGGAUUACUUUGUGACUUAGGCAACGGAGAGCAAACUUCUCAGAUCCACAUGGGUCUUUCUUUCUUUCUUUUUUGUUAGUAAUGAUAUUUGAUGAUGAUAAUGAUGAUGAUGAUGAUGAUGAUGAUGAUGAUGAUUGGUACCAGGGACUGAACCCAGGGAUGUUUAACCACUGAGUCAUAUCCCUAUCCUUUUUAAAAUUUUUCUUUUAUUUUGAGACAAGUUCUUGCUAAAUUGCUUAGGGCCUCACUAAGUUGCUGAGGCUGGCUUUGGACUCCUGCCUUAGCUUUCUGAGUUGAUGGAAUUAUAGGUGAGUGCCACCAUGCCUGGUUGAUUAUCUAUAUCUAUAUCUAUAUAUAUAUUAGUUGUAGACAGACAUAAUAUCUUUAAUUAAUUAAUUAAUUUAUUUAUUUAUGUGGUGCUGAGAUUGAACCCAGUGCCUCACACAUGUGAGGCAAGAGCUCAACCACUGAGCUAUAACCCCACCCCUGAUUAUUUUUUAAUCUGCUUUCACAUCAUUAAAAAAUCUUUAAAUUAGAUUUAGCAGGGUUUAAUUGAGUAAAGAAUUCAUGAAUUGGACAACAGUCAGGAUCCAAAUGGGUCUUUCUAUGGAACCCUAGAGCCCCAUGGAACACAGAUAAAAUCACUGAUUUAGUCUAUCAUUAUACAGAGCAGAAAAAUAAGAAACACAGAGAUUAGAUAAUACAGUUAAGUUAAGCAUAUAAUUUAAUUUGGCUUGGAUACAUGGGAUGGUAUAAGUCUCAUGAUUUAAAAAAACCAUCUGUGCACUUGGGACUUCAAAAUUUAAAUCUGUAGCUCUGACCUCUCUUUCAAACUCAAGACUCUUAUGUACAAUGUAUAGUUGGCAUAUAGUAGUUCCCCCUUAUCCAGGAUUUGACUUUCUGUGCUUUUAGUUUCCCAUGGUGGUCAACCAUUGAAUGAAAAUAUUAAAUGGCCAAUUUGAGAAGUAAAGAAUUCAUAAGAAGUAAAAAUUCCAAGAAGUAAAUAAUUCAUGCCCUGUACUGAGUAGUGUGAUGAAACCUCAUGCCAUCCCACGCCACACCACCUGAGAUAGGUCUACAAACCACAUGGGGAGAAUCUGCUUCUCUACAAUCUGUAUCCUCAGCAAACUUAAUGCCUGGUUCCUGGGUACAUGUUGAUGAAUAAGAGACUUCUGAGAUCUGGACCUAGCCAUGAGAAAGUUAGUCUAAAUAUGGAGAGAUGAACAUAUAUUUCAUUAGCAAAUCUUGAUUGAAGGUGCCACGUUCUACCGACUAAAGAUUUGAAGAGGAAAAAGGUAUGGCUCUCAUUUUUAAGAAGCUCACGAUUGAAUCCUGGGCAUGUGAAUAUGUACUGUAGAUUGUCAGUUUUACAAAGAUAAUGAGGGGGAAACUGGAAUUUCUCACCAGUAAAAUAAAACAACUGAAAAAAUAUAAAACAACUGAAGCAGGAUAUUAAGGUAGGAGGUGGUAGAGUGCUAACACAGAAAGUGUGAUCAUUAAUAAAACUUUGGAAUUAAAAGGCAUUUAAAAAAAGAAUUUUAUUGUUUUCAAGUAACGCAGUAUGGAACUUGCACUUGUCAUGGAUUUUCUUGCAAAGAUUCUGGUUGAUUUAACUAGUACAGUCUGGUUAACUGGAUCUGCUAGAACUACCUAAAACCACUGCUUAUAGUUUAGGUAGCACUUCAUGGGUAGAAAUCCCUUAAGAAGCAGAGUUGCAAGGCAUCUCCCAUAUACAGGAUCUGUUCUGUAUUGGAUGAUUUUGUCUUUCCUUCUGCAUUGGCUUUCUCAGAACAACUGAAAUGUCCUGUAUUCUACUUUUUUUUUUCAAUGAAUUACAACAGUUCAUCUAUUUUUUGUAGCUAUGAGAGCUAUUUGUCAAAUGUAUCUGAGACUCCUGUACUUUUAUUAAGUUUGUGACCCUACUAGGAAGUUAUUCUUUCACCCUUACUACCCUCCACACUUCAGCCUGCUCUGUAGAAUCAAUGUCAAGGCAAGCUCAUCCAGGCCAAUGGUCAGGUCCUCUCUCAGGAAUUUCCCAACAGAGAAUGACAAUCUGUCUUCCUGAAAUUUUUACCAGCUGCACUUAUCAUCACCCUGGAAGACUGUAUUCCAUUUUCCUUAAAGAAUUUAAAAUAUGAAACUCACUUUGUUGGAGAUCAUCUCAGACCAUAGACUUUUCCCAAGCUUUCUGUGAACUAUAUCUAGUGAUGUGCUAGUAAUAUGAAUUAAACAAUAGCAACAAAAAGCUCUGAUUGUAGUACUUGCUGAUUUCUGUGGUGAAGAUGCUUCUGCCAUGACCAACUUUAAGGUACCCAAGUGAAACUGCUGAACUCAUGGUUGGGAAGAGCUGCACAUAUAUUCUACUCUUGAGAUUUGUUAAGAUAUGAUUGCAGUACAAUGACACCCAUGUUUUCUUUUUGCUAACAUAUUUUGCUAAUUAAUCAUAUUUUACUUUACUUGGAUAAUGAAUUUUAGUAUUGGUGUUUUGAGGAAAGGAAUUCUGCAAACAUACUACAGGUAGGUUGACCAGAGGUUGUGAGGAGAGCCUAGGGAAUAUGAAGGAGAGUGUGGGAUAAAAAUAACUCCUAGGAGGUGGGAAUGAAUCCUAGGUUGCUAGUAUUGCUGUUAAUCAAGAUAGUGGGUGGAGCUUCAGGGAGGAAAGGUAACUAAUUUACACAAUAAUUGAGCAAAUAUUUAUUGAGCACAAACUGAUGCCUGACACAGGAAAUUCUAGGUAUUGAGAAGACACAGCAGAGCACACAACAGAUAAAAUCCUUGCUCUUGUGAAACUGAUAGCUUAUCAGAAAUGGCCUCUUGAAUGCAACCUGUUGGAAUCUCUUUGAAGCCUGAAUCUUCUGCUGAGUACACCCCUAUGUUUUUCAGUUUGAAGCUACCAAGACAUUUAAUAAAUACCUUUCUGGUAUCUUGUAGCACAGCAGUAUAAACUUACGUUCAACCUGACUUCACAUGGCGCAGUUGAUCCCUCCUGCAGAAAGCCUUCCCUAGACUUCCAUGUCUCCCUUCAAUUCUGGGUAACUCUUAGUUCCCUGUAAUGUGCCCCCAUUUACUUCCUUACUACAUUGUGAACUUUCUGAGGUUGUUUUCUUAGCAAGUUCCAUCUUAAAUAGUUGAGGCAGGACCACAGAUUAGCCUUUAUGUGAAGUACUAAAGUUUAUACUAUAUUGUCCAUGUAAAAUGUUCUUUUAAGCCAUUCCAAUCAUUCAUAUUAAUCCAGUUCCUUUUGUGACAUCAAAACAAAAUCCCCAAACAACAACAAAGAGCUCCUGAAAUCUGCCUGCAGAAUUUUAUUCUAAUUAAAUACAACACACAAGCUUUUUGAAGUUCAUUAUAAAAGUAAUGCUUUUGGACUUCCUCAUAAUGACUUUAUUCACUAUUGUACAUUUGGCUCACUGCUAGAAGAAAGUUACAAGGAUAGAUGGUGGCCCCAACAACAGAUAUUUACUUGGGAAAGAAGUUACACAAGGAAACAUAUCAACUCGAUGUCUUGCGUCAGUUACUCUGUGACCAACCAGGAGAGGGAAUGGCUUUGCUCUAGAUGCUGGCACCCAGCAGGAACUGUCUCAUCUCUAUCCAUGGUGGAAAUACAGCAUGGUGUUCUCUAGACGUGUUGCAUCUGCUACAUGGCAAAUCUAAGGGACUCUAAAGAGUAUCAUUAGGACAUGAUUUCUUCUUCUAGAGCAAGCAGUCUCAGCAGGAACUGUGAGUUUGCUUAGGUUUUCUGAAGAUACUAGAAUCAAAGCCUUGAUCAUUUUGUCCUCUGAAUGGAUUUCAUGACCGUACUCUUGAAUAUUUCAACAAGUUUUGAACAUGGAGGGACUUAGAACAUUCUCACAUUUCUAAUUUGUUCCAGCUUCAUAUGUGUCAUCAUUCUCUCUGAAAUCAACUUUAGAUUCAACAUCCCCUGCCAUCGGGACUUCCAGAGACCCUCCAUGCAGUGUCUCAGCUUUGACAUGUUGUGCUGAAUAGCUUGCUCUUAUCACAUGGCUUAACUGCUGUGAUGCAGAUAUUCCAAGGGUUGCUGCAUGUAUUACAUAACUCAAAGGUAUUUGGAAAGCUUAAUUUCAACUUCUUCAAAGGGAACAUGAAUGUUCCAAGGCCAAAGGACACAAAUAAACUUUUAUUUUUCAGUUCUGCCACCUGGUAUUAUUUAACAUAAAUAUAAAACCAGACAGGUUCUCAAUAUAGAAAAAUUUUCCAGUUAUUGUCCUUGUAUUUCAUCUCUUUGCCUUUCCUAGAAAGAAGACUGGAAUUGAUGGGUAAGCUUCCCCAUUAGCCUCAGAUUAAAGUCUUGCCUUCCUGGUUCUCAUACUAAAUUGCGGGUUUUAUUUGAAAUCUGUUCCACUUCAGAAAUUUCAAGCACAG